rnacentral:rRNA from 1 species
UACAGAGGUCUCAAGCGUUGUUCGGAUUCAUUGGGCGUAAAGGGUGCGUAGGUGGCGCCGUAAGUCAGGUGUGAAAUCUCGGGGCUCAACCCCGAAACUGCACUUGAUACUGCGGUGCUCGAGUACUGGAGAGGAGAUUGGAAAUUUACGGUGUAGCAGUGAAAUGCGUAGAUAUCGUAAGGAAGACCAGUGGCGAAGGCGAAUCUCUGGACAGUUACUGACACUGGAGGCACGAAGGCCAGGGGAGCAAACGGG